AUCAACGGUCGUUAACAGGGCGUAGGGGAGUCGAGAACUGGAGGCAGAAUAACUAUUCGACCCAACAGUUAACAAGGCGUAGGGUUUUUUUCUCGCAUCUCCGAUCUGCUCCUGCCGCUUCUUCUCCAUGUCACGACGCAUCAUCCGGCAGCAGUCGCUCCUCGCGGCGGUCCCCUACCUUCUCCGACAUCAGCAGAUGCGGUGGGCUCACGGCCGCCUUUCUCCUCGCGGCUCCUCUUCUCGCGGCCCCUCGCUGCCAAACAAGAAAACGGAGGGCAAAUCGGAGUGGUGGACGGUGGACGGUGAGAUGCAUGAGGUCGGCGAGCACGUUCCCCGCAGGGAGCGAUUUGUCAUCCCCAGAGACAACCUCCCCAACAAACGCCGCAAGCAGAUGCGCGAGCAGUUCAUGCGCAGCACCCGCCUCGUUCUCAAAGACACGGAGCAUGAGCCUUGGUGUAAAAAAUAUAUGGAGUUAUAUCAAGAGCUUAGGGAGAAUUGGGAAAGGCUUUACUGGGAUGAAGGAUAUUCAAAAAAGAUUGCUCAAGAUCAUGCCAAUUAUGAAUCUGCUGAGGAUGAUGACUUGGACUUUUCACCAUACAGGAGAAGACAAUCAUAUGCUGAGCUAAAGGAAGAAGGUCAUAGUGGUAUUGAAAUAUCACAAAGGAUUCGUCAAGUACGAGAUAGAUUUGAAUAUGAGAGAGAAAGAAGAAUCACGGACAGAGAACGCUGUUGAUGAGCCACCCGCUGCAAGCGCUUUCUGAUUUAUUCUGAUGGUGGAUGGGAAACUUCCUUGAAGCCGGUCAUCCACAAGAUUAGUUGGUGUAAGUGGAAUACCUAGUGCCAACUAAAUUUUUUUUUAAAGCAUUUGCUCCUAUGAAUACGACGAACACUCCCUAUCCUCAAAAUCCAAAUUCAAGGCCUUAUCGUUCUGGAGCCAAGUUCUUCCCCCAGACCUUCAGAGGCUACAAGUGAUGCAAUUUCGAUGGUUGGCCUUGUUCAUUUUUUUUUCAAGUUGCAAGUUGUCGAUGGCAUUGUGGUAAUCGUUGUUGCUUCGUCAUUCCAGUUCUGAUAGAAAAACGUUUACAAUUUACUUACCGAAGCUGCCCUUCAAUAAUUGCCCUGCUUAUCACAGAAUGUAGUUGCGUCUGGGAUUUGGGCUAGGUAUAUGCGAACCUGUCCAACAGUCAGUAUAUCAAUUCCAACUGUGGAACAGAAUAGUCUACGUGGGUGUUUUUUUUGUUAUUAUGUUUUCCACUUUUGAAUCCUCAAGAGGGUACAAGGCUGGUUUAUUUACUGAAAAUUUGUUUAUGAAAAAUAUUAAAUAAUUUUCUUGUUUGAA